UCGGUUCAGUUGCUAUGGUUAAACUGUAGCUAUAACCUGGCUGGUAACGUGUUACCUAAAUGUAAAUUUACGUACUUCAAGGUGGGAAUGUUCGUUAAUUUUUAAAUUUUAAAUGAACAUUGAACAUCAGCGCAUGUACUUUAUGCUAUUAUUUGUCUGCUUAUUCGAACCGAGUUGUGUUUCGAAGACGAACUUAUUGUUGUAUUCAGUUUUAAAGUGUAGUUUGGUCAAGCACAUAGUGUACCUAUUACCUACCUAAGUGUUGAUAGAGGCACAAACUGUAAACCGUCAAAUUUUGUUUUUGGUUGAUGAAAUAUCGCAACUUGUUGAAAAAUACAUGCUUACGUGUCGUGUGUAAGAUAGAAGUGCAAGAUGAAACGAAAUACUGAUUCAUAUUUCAUCAUACCCUCUCGUUCAAGGUUGAUUCUGCUGCUACCAACAGGAGAAACAGAACUUUCAGUAAUCCAACUCAUCAAGGUGAAGAAUAUCAAAACACAGUUUUUGUCAAGAAUUGAUUUCCUAACAAUAAUGACAGCAGCAGGUUGACAACCAUUGCCAAUCACUCAUCUACAAGAUCCACUAUUUAUACAGAUCAUUCAACACAGUAACAGUAACAAUUUUUGUUUACUUUCACCAUUCAAAUGGCUAUACUUAGGUAACCAUUUUGUAAACAUGAUUUUUUUGGACAAUUGCAUCAGUUUGACACUAAACGACCAUAAUGGCAACAAGUUUUGAAAGAGAAUAUUGGGCUCUUUACACUCCUUGCCUAUGUGUGAGCAUGAUUUUUGCAGUUGAGUCAAUCCUUAGAAUUUUUACAAAUGAAACACGCAAAACAAACUUACAAUACAUAAAAACACCAUGUUGGUAAUGAACGUAUCUCAAUUUGGUGUUGAAUCGGCACCCAUUCCCAGAAUGGAUUUGGACUUGUGGAAACUAUUUAUAUGUAAAAGAAGCAUAUUCAUCGUUUAUUUCUUAAAAAUCGAUGUCCUCUGCAGCCACCUGGACAAGUUCCCCGUUCUUCAUUAAUGCAAAUUCAGUAGGGUCUUGUCUGUAUAUCGACGAGAUGUUGCCUUUGGAGUGAACUAACAAAGUAAAGUUAAGUACUUAUUCUGAUUGAUCGAUUUACCAAAGUGCUACAGUAAUGCUCGUUUUGCUAGCUGAAAAUGAAAUAGACGGGCAAUUUAGAUUAUUAUGAAAGUAGAAGGGGUGUUCAAUAGGUAUGUACCUACUUACAUUAUACUGUAUGUGUUUCUGCCAGUAUCAAUACUUCACACUACAAUUCUACAAGUAUGAAACAUUAAAAAUUACCUACUUACUGUGCAACAAUUCACAAAUUUAUUACAUUAUUACUUCCGAUUCCUUGAAGUAUUAUAGUAAGUAUGUAAUGUACAUAAUUAUCCUCCUACUGUUGUAAUUUGGCAUAAGGUGAGAAAAUAGGAAUAAGGUGUUGAAACAUUUUUUGACUCGAUGUCAUCUCCUGGGUACAUACAAGAGGUCGUGAAUUCAAUAUGCCUCAAUUUCUGUUAAAAUUAUCAUCAACUGAAUCAGAUACAUGUAAACAGUGAUGACACUGAUGACCAAACAUUUUCUUCGGGAAAUUUUUCACCAUACCUAUAUAAUCUAUCAUAGAAACUAGGGCCCUUGUGGUGAUUUCAAUGUUUUUUUUAUUGGCGUUUUGGGUUCUUUUCUCAAUGAGGAAUCCAGUGGUGCAAUCAGUUUUUCACCUUUGUUGGUAUAGAGGGGCAUUUACUUUAUCUAUAAAAAAUUGUUUAUACUUAAUUGAAGCUGAAAAUAUAAAUAUUCUGUAAAUA